rnacentral:lncRNA from 1 species
UUACUUGAGAUGAGUACCAUUCACCUGAUUUCCAGAUUAUAGUACGGAUGGCUGCUACUAUCAGGUCUUCAGUGUUAUAAGGAGAAGGCUGUCAGUAUCAAUGAAAACACCAUAGGCAGUCUGGAAAAGAAGCCCUUCAGACAAGUUCCCUUUGUGGGAAGAAAGGUUUAUCGGGCUUGUACACAGAUGUACAAUUUCUCAAGACCACAGCAAAUGGAAUCUACCCCCAAAACAAA